GAUGAAGAACGCAGCGAAAUGCGAUAAGUAAUGUGAAUUGCAGAAUUCAGUGAAUCAUCGAAUCUUUGAACGCACAUUGCGCCCCCUGGUAUUCCGGGGGGCAUGCCUGUUCGAGCGUCAUUUCACCACUCAAGCCUCGCUUGGUAUUGGGCAACGCGGUCCGCCGCGUGCCUCAAAUCGACCGGCUGGGUCUUCUGUCCCCUAAGCGUUGUGGAAACUAUUCGCUAAAGGGUGUUAGGGAGGCUACGCCGUAAAACAACCCCAUUUCUAAGGUUGACCUCGGAUCAGGUAGGGAUACCCGCUGAACUUAAGCAUAUCAAUAAGCGGAGGA
rnacentral:misc_RNA from 1 species